rnacentral:rRNA from 1 species
UACGUAGGGUGCGAGCGUUAAUCGGAAUUACUGGGCGUAAAGCGUGCGCAGGCGGUGAUGUAAGACAGGUGUGAAAUCCCCGGGCUUAACCUGGGAACUGCAUUUGUGACUGCAUCGCUGGAGUGCGGCAGAGGGGGAUGGAAUUCCGCGUGUAGCAGUGAAAUGCGUAGAUAUCAGGAGGAACACCGAUGGCGAAGGCAGCUCGCUGGGACGGUACUGACGCUGAGGCGCGAAAGCGUGGGGAGCAAACAGG